rnacentral:lncRNA from 13 species
AUGACCUUGACAGCCAUCGUGAGGAUUGGUCAGGUAUUUUGUAGAAUGCCCCUCAGUUUGGGCUAUCCGAUAUUUUUCUUAUGGUUAGACUGGGGUUAUGGGUUUUUGGGUGAGGUCCACAGAUGGGAAGUGCCAUUUUUAUCAUAUGAGAUCGAGGGUGCGUGCCGAGCAACAGGACUGAUUGCCACUGAUGACCUUGAGCUUCUGGCUGAGGUGUGUUUGUUAGGUGUGUUUCUCCCUGCAAAGUUCUCUUCUCCCCCACUCCUUUCACUGACCUGCCCAUGGGAAGCAAGUCACUCAGCACAGCCCACACCCGAUGGCAGGGAAAGUCACACUCCACAUCUUGGAGAGGAUGGAGUGGCAUCAUGGGUGGGGGAGCAGAUGGAGUCCUGGAUGGAGGGUCGUCUGACUGGUUUGUACCCAAGCUCUGCUCCUCACCAGCUGUGUGAUCUGGAGCUAUUUCCUUGACCUCCAUCAACCUUCCGUUUCUGAUCAAUGAAAAGGCAGCAGUACUAUGUGUCUCAAAGGGGUGCUGGGAGUAUAGGAGGGAGGUGCUCACAGUGGCACCUGGAGAUGCCUAGUGAAGCUGGCUUUAGUGUUUCCGUCCCUGGCCCUGUCACAAAGCAAGUGGGUGGCUUUUUUGACCUCUUUGGAACCUCAGUUUCCUUGUCUGUAAAAUCAGAGGACUGGACCAGGUGGUAUCAGAGGAUGCCAGCUUCUGGAUAUUCCCUAAGGUCCAGGUGCGGCUGGCUGGUGGGGAUGGGUGAAGAGGAGCGAGCUAGAGGGGGGCCCACAGGCCUUGGCCCUGGUAUAAUCAGUUUUGUGAAUCUGCCAUCCAGAGAAGAUGACUUUUUGCCCUAGAAGACAGGAUAUUACCCUGAAAAUGUCACCUGCAUAUCUGUGCUUAGAGCAUUCCCCUGUGUGUUUAAGCUCUUAGCACACCGUGGCUGGCUGGGCACAGGCUGGUGAGCACAAUCUGGUCGGAUCUGAUGGAAUGUUCCAUGUAACUGUUUUCACUGGUGCAAAAAUCUACACACCUGUUUUGUGUAUUCUUAGAUAUCUGGUCUCCCAUCUUGGUGUGCCCCUCUCUACCCAGCAAUGGCGUUUGUCAGCUUCUGGUGACAAAUGGGAUUUUGGUUGGGGUGUGAAGUUGGGUUUCUGGUGUGAAUUUCUGGUUGGUUACAUGUGCUGAAACUGGGGCCAGAGCCUGGCUGUAGGUGGGGUGUGGCUG